UGGGGAAUAUUGCACAAUGGGCGCAAGCCUGAUGCAGCCAUGCCGCGUGUGUGAAGAAGGCCUUCGGGUUGUAAAGCACUUUCAGCGGGGAGGAAGGCGAUAAGGUUAAUAACCUUGUCGAUUGACGUUACCCGCAGAAGAAGCACCGGCUAACUCCGUGCCAGCAGCCGCGGUAAUACGGAGGGUGCAAGCGUUAAUCGGAAUUACUGGGCGUAAAGCGCACGCAGGCGGUCUGUCAAGUCGGAUGUGAAAUCCCCGGGCUCAACCUGGGAACUGCAUUCGAAACUGGCAGGCUAGAGUCUUGUAGAGGGGGGUAGAAUUCCAGGUGUAGCGGUGAAAUGCGUAGAGAUCUGGAGGAAUACCGGUGGCGAAGGCGGCCCCCUGGACAAAGACUGACGCUCAGGUGCGAAAGCGUGGGGAGCAAACA
rnacentral:rRNA from 2 species